ACGGAGGGUGCAAGCGUUGUUCGGAUUCACUGGGUAUAAAGGGUGCGCAGGCGGCUUGAUAAGUCAGGGGUGAAAUAUGACGGCUUAACCGUCAAACUGCCCCUGAAACUGUCAGGCUUGAGUUCGAGAGAGGUAGGUGGAAUUCCAGGUGUAGCGGUGAAAUGCGUAAAUAUCUGGAGGAACACCGGUGGCGAAGGCGGCCUACUGGCUCGAUACUGACGCUCAGGCACGAAAGCAUGGGGAGCGAACGGG
rnacentral:rRNA from 1 species